GUGAGGAAUUUUGCGCAAUGGGGGCAACCCUGACGCAGCGACGCCGCGUGGAGGACGAAGUCUUUCGGGAUGUAAACUCCUGUCAGUGGGGACGAUAAUGACGGUACCCACAGAGGAAGCACCGGCUAACUCCGUGCCAGCAGCCGCGGUAAGACGGAGGGUGCAAGCGUUGUUCGGAAUUACUGGGCGUAAAGCGUAUGUAGGCGGCAAGUUAAGUUCAAUGUUAAAGCCCACGGCUCAACCGAGGAGAUGCAUUGAAUACUGGCUAGCUAGAGGGUGUUAGAGGAAGACGGAAUUCCCAGUGUAGCGGUGAAAUGCGUAGAUAUUGGGAGGAACAUCGGUAGCGAAAGCGGUCUUCUGGGACAUACCUGACGCUGAGGUACGAAAGCGUGGGGAGCAAACUGGAUUAGAAACCCCUGUAGUCC
rnacentral:rRNA from 1 species